UACGGAGGGUGCAAGCGUUAUCCGGAUUUACUGGGUUUAAAGGGUGCGCAGGCGGAUAUGUAAGUCAGUGGUGAAAUCUCUAGGCUUAACCUGGAAAUUGCCGUUGAUACUAUAUAUCUUGAAUGUUGUGGAGGUAAGCAGAAUAUGUCAUGUAGCGGUGAAAUGCUUAGAUAUGACAUAGAAUACCUAUUGCGAAGGCAGCUUACUACGCAGAUAUUGACGCUCAUGCACGAAAGCGUGGGGAUCAAACAGGAUUAGAAACC
rnacentral:rRNA from 1 species